AAUGAAACCAGUUUUCUACCGUGUGGCUGAGUGCGUCGGGUUGAUGUGGCCAGAAAUGUGUUAAACCGGGUGGAGUGGUGAUUCCUUCUCUCCUGGCACAUACCAUCUGCUAAUGGGCCAGCUUUAAACCAGCUGGGGCAAUCAUCUGUAUCUUUCCACAGCCCAUCCUUCCUCUGGAGAUACCUCCUGAUAAUGGGAAUUGUUAAAAACCUCGCGGGGCAGUGAUCUUUAUCCCUCUGGGGAUAUCCUCUGCUAAUGGGCCAGGUUUAAACCAGCUGGGGCAAUCAUCUUUAUCUUUUCCACAGCCCAUCCUCUCUCCAGGAGAUAUCUCCUGUUAAUGGGCGUUGUCAAAAACCAGGUGGGACAGUGAUCCUUAUCCCUCUGGGGAUAUCCCCUGCUAAUGGGCCAGGAGUUAAACGAGCUGGGGCAAUCAUCUGUGCCUUUUCCACAGCCCAUCCUCCCUCCAGGAGAUAUCCCCUGUUAAUGGGCCAGGUGUUAAACCAGCCGGGGCAAUCAUCUUUAUCUUCCCACAGCCCAUCCUCCCUCCAGGAGAUAUCUCCUGAUAAUGGGCAUUGUUAAAAACCUGGCGGGGCAGUGAUCUUUAUCCCUCUGGGGAUAUCCUCUGCUAAUGGGCCAGGUUUAAACCAGCUGGGGCAAUCAUCUUUAUCUUUUCCACAGCCCAUCCUCUCUCCAGGAGAUAUCUCCUGUUAAUGGGCGUUGUCAAAAACCAGGUGGGACAGUGAUCCUUAUCCCUCUGGGGAUAUCCCCUGCUAAUGGGCCAGGAGUUAAACGAGCUAGAUCGGAACCCCCCCCCCCCCCCCCCCCCCCCCCCCCCCCCCCCCCCC
rnacentral:lncRNA from 12 species